GCCGCUGUCCCGUCCUCUGCUGUGUCCUUGCUCCCUUUGGCGUCUGGUGCGCUCCUGUCCUGGGUGCCCGGGGUGUCCUACGAGGCUGUGUGCUCGCUGGGCUUUACCCCGCUCGGGGCCGGGGGCUCCUGGAUUCUGCGGCACAACCUACUCGUUGGGGAAGACGCCGUCCCUUCCACUCCGUGCUGUCGCAGCACUUCUAGGAGCCUCGUGGGAAGAGCCACAUCCCCCGGGAGCCGUGGUGACCUCCUAACCCCAGGAGCUGUCAACUGGGCCUAGUGUGCAAAUGGGCUCUUCACAGACGAUCAAGACACACGUCGUGAUCACGAGAUUCUCAUAACUCGCUCGCGCACAGAGAGCCGAAGAUCGGAAACAUCUCGUUGGAGAAGAGAGGAAGAGGGCGGACUUUAACAGAGGCGUCGGGGGUCAGGCCACGCGCGGCCGGAAAGCAGAGAAGCACGGCGCAGGCGAGGAGGCGGGAGGCCCGGCGUAAGCUCGCCCAGCGAGGUGAUGCCCACGCGUCACAGAGAGGGGCACACGCGGCACGUGGGGAGGCCCCCAGCCUCCCGGGGACGGCGUGGCCCUACAACGCACACCCCGAGAGCAGUUUGGAACCAGUGCGAGAAAACAGUGACCAACACGAAAAGCUUUAUCUACCAAGGAAUUCAAAGUGCGUAACUGGGGGACAACUGGUCUGACUUAAACAGCCAGCGAUACAGAUUGUUGAAGAAACUGGCGGAGUCAGGACGUGCUCUGCAAUCGCACACACACGUGUAUGUGACGUACACGACGUGACAGGACGGACGAAGACGGUCACGGCCUUGUUGAGUGAAAAAGGCAAGGAGACACU